AUGCGCAAUGGAUAGCGCGUUGGACUUCUAAUUCAAAGGUAGUGGGUUCGAAUAUUCUACUUGAACUA